rnacentral:RNase_P_RNA from 1 species
AAAGCAGACCUAUCUUAUCGCUUUUAAAAACCUAUUUUAUUUUUACAUAGUAUGAUAGAUUAGUUUUAAAAAGAGGAAAGUCCGGACACCAUAGAGUGGCACAGCGGAUAACAUCCGUCCAAUGUAAAUUGAGGACAAGUGCAACAGAAAGCAGGUACAGUUCGGCUGUAGUGAAACCAGGUAAACUCUGUGCGGUGCAAUGUCAUGUACAUUAGAGUUUGAGGGUUACUCGCCCGAUUCUAAGGGGUAGGCAGAUCGAUUCUAAGAGUAAUUUUAGAACUAGAUAAAUGAUAAGACUCUAUUAAGGGAACAGAAUCCGGCUUAUUGGUCUGCUUUUUUU